rnacentral:rRNA from 1 species
GACGAACGCUGGCGGCGUGCCUAAUACAUGCCAGUCGAGCGGACUUACAAAGCUUGCUUUUUAAGUUAGCGGCGGACGGGUGAGUAACACGUGGGCAACCUGCCUGUAAGACUGGGAUAACUUCGGGAAACCGGAGCUAAUACCGGAUAAUCCUUUUCUACUCAUGUAGAAAAGCUGAAAGACGGUUUACGCUGUCACUCACAGAUGGGCCCGCGGCGCAUUAGCUAGUUGGUGAGGUAACGGCUCACCAAGGCGACGAUGCGUAGCCGACCUGAGAGGGUGAUCGGCCACACUGGGACUGAGACACGGCCCAGACUCCUACGGGAGGCAGCAGUAGGGAAUCUUCCGCAAUGGACGAAAGUCUGACGGAGCAACGCCGCGUGAGUGAUGAAGGUUUUCGGAUCGUAAAACUCUGUUGUUAGGGAAGAACAAGUACGAGAGUAACUGCUCGUAACUUGACGGUACCUAACCAGAAAGCCACGGCUAACUACGUG